AACUAACGCUGGCGGCGUGCCUAACACAUGCAAGUCGAACGAGAAAGUUGGCUUCGGCCGAUGAGUAAAGUGGCGCACGGGUGAGUAACGCGUGGAUAAUCUGCCCUUUAGUUUGGAAUAACGUACCGAAAGGUGCGCUAAUACCGGAUAAUACUGAAUGACUACUGUCGUUUAGUCAAAGAAGGCUUCUGUUUACAUGCUUUUGCUGAAGGAUGAGUCCGCGUACCAUUAGCUAGUUGGUAGGGUAAUGGCCUACCAAGGCGAUGAUAGAUAGGCGGCCUUAACGGGUGGUCGCCCACACUGGGAUUGAGAUACGGCCCAGACUCCUACGGGAGGCAGCAGUCGAGAAUAGUCUACAAUGGCCGAAAGGCUGAUAGUGCGACGCCGCGUGAACGAAGAAGCCCUUGGGGUCGUAAAGUUCUUUUAUAUGUGAGCAGUGCUUUCUAUGUGAACAGGCAUGGGGAGAGAGGAUAUUAGCAUAUGAAUAAGCAACC
rnacentral:rRNA from 1 species